UCCGCCGUCCGCGUCAGAAUCGCCAAUCCUAGGACCUUCAUCCUUGCUGGUCCUCUCCGCGUCCCCCGAGGCCUCCUGCCGCCUCCUAUCCGCCGCCACCCCCCGAGGCUCGAGCGCCAUCCGGCCCCGCGUCACCCUAGGCCUCCUGCCGCACUGCCGCCACCGCACGCGCCUCCUUCGCCGCCCGAGGCCUCCUGCCGCACCGCCACCGCCGCCCGCGCCUCUUACGCCGCCCCUCUGGUCUGCGCCUCCUCGCCCUGCGCCGCCUCUGUCUGCCACGUGGCGUCGCGUCCUGCGCGCCACCGCCUUACCACCGCUCGCUCCGCCGGCCGCGCCACCGCCUGCCCGCGGCGGAGGACCACCUCCGGAUCCACCGGGCGCCAUCCACGGGGAAGGACCACCUCGAGAUCCACCGGGCGCCGUCCACGGGUGAGGCACUGCCGCCUGCCUACCAGGCACACCGCGCUGCCGCCGCGUCUUGCCGAGUCUCCCAUUCACACCGCCGCCGCCGCCGACUGCCAGGUAAUCCCUCCACGCAGUCGGCAACAAGAACCUCCGUGCGUGAGCCGCCGGGGACGGGAUCCUCCGCGUAGGAGGACCCAGGGAAGGGGACAUACUCGUGCACGACUUCCCGGCGGAGUUGGGGCCCUGCACCCGCAGUUGUUGGAGCGAGGGGGCUUCCCAUUGAUGCUGCUCCUCGCGACCUCCUCCAGCGAUGUCUUGAUCAAGGGUUUGGGCCAUGGAGGCUGCUGCUGGUCCGCGGGGGAGGACUCCCUCGAUCUGCUCCCGUCGCCACCUACGCAUCGGCUAAAGUUUUAACCAAACUUGUGAAAGAAUUUGCUGGUGAUAUUUCUGGUAAUGGUGGUGUGCUUGUAGCUCCUACUACUCACAAAUUAGAGGAGACAGAAGGUGCUAUCUGAACAAUACUGAAUAUUUCUCUUUCCUUGAUGCUAAUCAUUGCUGCAGUAGAUUAGUAGUAUUUGAUUUGCGGAUGAAGACAUCACUAGACCUGGUUAUUUUAGCUGUUAGAUUUUUUUUUGUGCAGGAGUCCUCACCCACAUGCUUUUUUUUAAAUUCAGACAUGAUAGUUACCAUGGAUGAGGAGCUUGCAGGGGAGCCUUUGCAGUCAUCAGAGCACUGAAGUAAUCAUCACAUGAACGAAGUCUGAAAGAAGGAUGGUUACUUUGGUUUCUUUUGGCCUGCAGAAUUUAGUUCUUGUUAUGUGCGUUCAAAUUGAGUUAUAUUACAGUAACAAUUGUACUGAUAACUAUUUGGUUUUCUGGCAGCGAUGUACUGUUAUGUUUCCUUUCCUGGGUUUAUGAUGCUCACUAUAUACGUCUGUUUAACAGAUUGGUCGGCAUUUCCAUUUGGCAAAUGAAUGCCAUUUCAGUCGAUCUCAAUUUUCAUGGCAGUGAUUUCUCAAUUUAAGAAUAGCCUUUCUCUCUCUAACCAAUCUGUUUCGUUAUUUAGUGUGUAGAUUUCUCUUUACCAAAAUUGCAUUGAUUUUGCAUAAAGGUGAAUUGUGCUCUGCACUACCUUUUUCAGGACGUUAUAAAGAAUAUUAUGUUAUUUUAGGUGGAAUUGUAACAUAUGAGGUUUGCAUUUUUUCAGCAAAAAAUGGUGCCAUAUCAAAUUUAGCACUUUGCCAGAUUGCUACUAAAGGUGGAAUUGUAAAAUAUGAGGUUUGUAGAUUCAGAAAGUGGAAGCUAAUAGAGAUACUUCUAUGUAAAAUGCAUUGUCUGAAACUCUGAAGUCCGUAAAUCAUUUCGUGGACGAGACCUUGCUACUUCGCCCCUGCCUUGGUGACGAGAUUCUGGAGCUUAUUAGUCUAAACUGUUCAAUGGACGGAUCCAAAUUUUCAAUUAAAGCUGCAAAAACUAGCAUAACAUCUCUAUAUGACAUGUUUUGAGUCAGGUUAUAAAGGUGGAGGUGUACAACGAUUGCAAAUAGAUCCUGAGUAUAUUUACCUCACUCGAGGUGCUACUUUUGUGGUAAUCAUUAAUAACUUGUUGUCUCCUAAAAAUUUAUGCCAGCUAUAUAUACACCCCUUCAAGUUUUUAUGUUCUUCUGGGGAUGGCUCUGCUAGCAGCCUGGCAUGCUGUUGCUAGAUCAUUGUCAUUUUAGUUAUACUUUUGUGAAGAGAAUUAUGGGUUCUGAGUUUUAUCUUCCUCAGCUUUUCGUUAAAGGUGGCCCAAAAACUGGAGUUCACAUUGAGUACUUAACCCUGAAUAUGAAAAUUGUGAAAGUUCAAAAUGCUACUUGGAAGCAGUAUGCAAAGGCUAUGGGGAACUUUGUAAGUCGACCUGAGAUCAUUUACUCCUAAUUCUUAGAUCUUGAUCAGUUAUGCAAUAUGCAUUCAAUGUACGGAGCUAUUGCACUAUGUAGACUGUACGUGCUGCUAUUUUGGCAAAUGGAGGUACCAGUCUGUCAAGUUUUUGGAAGAGUCGAAGUGGAUAUCCCAGUGGCUAUGAUACUGAAUACUCAAAAUGACCAUCUUUACUUUGGUUGUAGCAUGCCAAUCGAUCCUUGUCUGCCUAAGGUGGACUUGAUCCUUAUUUGCUAUCUUCUUAUCUGCACAUGUUUGUCAUUUUUUUAACUUGACAAUGCUUUGGGGAGAUCUAUUUUCCUUCUAUGAAACUUGCCAAAGUAACAGUUGGAUGAUGGCAGAUGAGAAGGUCAGAAUUCAUAAUACUCAACUACUUUACUUGCAUAUAAAGUUAAUCUGUGCUAAAAAGUUUAGGUUGUGAUAUUCCAAUCAGCUAGAUAUUGGUAUUACAGAGUACAGACUUGGCCAAGGGCUAUAUUCAGAAGGAAAAAAAAUUAUCCGUGGUUUUCCAGUGGCAGUAGCAAUUCUUUUAUCAAUAACAUGAUUGGAAGGUAUGGCAUGGAGCACAAAUAUUGAAUUUCCAGUGAAUUGCUUUUGUGUAGAGCACAAUUGACUCUUGACUGCCCUUACUUUUUACUGAAGUAGUGCUUUUAUUUGGUGCCCUAUCUUUAGUUUAGUUCAGGUGUGCUCUCAUAGACUUAGCUAGAGAUCAUUGGAGAAGCUUCUCUACCUCCAUCACUUCCUCUUUGUUCAAACACAUAAUGAAACAUCAUUUAGUAAACCUGAUAGUAAUAAGUGCCUCCUAAUAUGUUAUUUCAUUCUUGUGACAGGUCUGCUGGGAAAAUAAAAGUUUCGAUUUUAGAUACUUGUGACUUCUUGCUACCUGGCACAACUUAUAACUUUAUUAGUAAUGCUCUAGAUUCUACUGGUGGUGGCACUGGGUCCAUGAUAAGGUAGAUGAAACUUUUCAUUACUACAUUGGUGUCAAAAUUCUGAAAUACACCACCAGGUCCUCAUACUGACUGUUUAUGUGAACAAACUGUCUAAGAUCUUGGAGUGAGUCAAUGAUUACACUGCAUUGAUCAUUGAACAAUUCUUAAAAUACAUCUACAAUAGAGGCAAUACUUUCAACAGGUUGGAGAGCAUACCAGUGUAUGUUGGUGCCGAGAGUGGAAUCCAAAUUUGCUGGUGAUUUAGGAAGAUGUUGUCGUCUGUUGUCAGAGGAAGCACGUUGUAGCGGAGCUGAUCCUAUUAGCACAACGAAACUAUGGUGGAAUUAUGGGGAGCAAACUUUAGUUUUACUCAAUCAGAACUAUGGAGAUUGGAGAAUAGGAUAAGUGUGAUACAUUUGUCUCAUGUGCAAGGUAACUUUCCUAAUAUCAUGUGCAACCGAAAGUGAUGCUGGAGCUUAAGCCAUCUACUCCAGCCAGAGAUGUUUUUUUAUUACUUAUUUACCUUUCUAUUUUACAA